rnacentral:rRNA from 1 species
UACAGAGGGGGCAAGCGUUAUUCGGAAUUACUGGGCGUAAAGGGCUCGUAGGCGGCUCGUUAAGUCAGACGUGAAAGCCCUCGGCUUAACCGGGGAACGGCGUCUGAGACUGGCAAGCUUGAAUCCGGGAGAGGGAUGCGGAAUUCCAGGUGUAGCGGUGAAAUGCGUAGAUAUCUGGAGGAACACCGGUGGCGAAGGCGGCAUCCUGGACCGGUAUUGACGCUGAGGAGCGAAAGCCAGGGGAGCAAACGGG